ensembl:lncRNA uncharacterized LOC114474080
CAGUAAAGCGCUGUAUAUUGGCCUGAGGAAUCAUUUGAAAAACCUCAUAUGGGUCAACUCUUUAGGUCAAAAAGUCUGCGAUGUGCCUUUAAAAAAUUGUGGUCUCUAAAAUAGCAACUUUUGCUGUCCCAAAUGUAUAGAUAAAGCCUUCAGGCCUCUUUAGUCUUGGAUGAAGAAAAAUCUAAACCGGAGACCAUUGAAAUGAUACUUGUCUUCUAAGACUUCUAGGUGUCUUUUCUCUUUGUCCCAGGAUUUAUGUUUGCUGACAGAUUCAAUAAAUAAUAUAGGUUAAAGACCUUGUCAUCCCACCAGAGACGGGGUCAUUACAGAGAGUGUGGUGACAAAAUCUAAUCUCCUUCAUUUUUCAAAUGAAAGAUCUACACCAGAUCGUUGACGGAACAACUUUCAGAGAAAUUCUGUUGACAAAGCAGGUUUCAAAGUUCUCAACUCAUUCCUGCUCGUGUGCAGUGCACAGCUCACUUCCGACCCCUGCUUGGUUUUGGUUUUGCUGAAACUGGAACCUGGCUGGUAAAUAAAACAUGAGUUCUGUGCAGCUUGCAGAGUUCUUUCAGCGGGACAAGAGGUGAAAGGCGACAUUCUUCCUUAACAACAAGAUCUGGACUGAGAUUGAGACACACGGAGAACACAAAGACGUAAAGCAUCUAAUAGGAGAACCAGAGCCUAUGGAACAGGAUGAUCAAGGCAAAGGAGCAGCACUGUGAUCCUCUACCAGUGUUUGGGAAGCCGUGGUACUGGCAGCGCAGGGACAGCACCAUGGAGAGCACCCGCAGCCUGGCACAAGUCAUCCUGGAGAUGCGGGAUGAGAUCAAGAAGUUGGAGGCUGAGAAUCAGGAGCUGAGGAGUAGCUGGCCUCAGCGUUCCUCUGGAGCUGGAGCAGUGAUGGAGGAAAACCCCUAUCUGAACCUGAGGCGGAACGUAUCUGCACCCACACUGGAGAGACAAUACAAGGAGCCCACAGUCAUGACUGUUCGAAGAUACUCUAUGAGUCCCAACCUACUGGGGGUGACCAUGAGGGAGGGGGGCACUGACAGAGGCCAACGUGCUCAGUCUGGAUGGGGAAAGCUGCAACAUGAAAUCCAGCAUGGGUUUAGCGUCUUCAGUAGCUCAGUUAUAGAAGAAGUAGGAAAAGUUAGCAACCGCCACUCCCUGCAGGAGUAUGUUCAAAGAAACAGGUAAUAAGAAGCACGUUAAUGUCAAAACAGCUGUUGAAAGUAUUAUUGUUUGUUUUUUCUUAGAUUAUUUAUUUAUUUAUUGAUUUUGUAAUUCAAUUCUCAUUCUUCAGCCACCAUUCGGAAUCAUUCUGUCACUCAAAACUCCUCUUUCUCCAAAGGGCCAAGGUUAAAACUGUCACAUUUCUACUUCCUGUGGAUGAUAUUUACACAAGCCGGCCUGCUCUGACGAAGCAACAGGAGGAGCCUAAACUAACACCCCUGACCUCCAUUCCAGAGACUGAUUCCUGUGUGCAAAACUCGUGACCAGAGAGAAAAAGUGUUCUGGUAAAAUGAGCCUUUCUGACCGAAGACACAAUGUUCUUCUUUUUCUAGGCCAGCGCCGAGUGGAUGCUUUAAUGUGAGAACUGGUAGCUCGAUUUUUAUCACACCUGACCCCACAGACGACUCUAGUUACAGGUGUGGUUUUCAUCUGACCAUGGCAGUCCAUCCAGGCCUGGUGAACAGUGAUGAGACACGAGGCCUGAUGCUGUGAGGAUCAGGUGUCUGCACUCCUUUCCCCACACCGACUCUUAUUUUAUAGUAACAGGCACACCUGCAGGUGACGGCUCUUUUUCGGACAGUUGCGGGUGCCGACUCCGACGUCGUGAGAAGCUUUAGAGUCAUUUAUUAUUCAGGUGAAGGUGUGUUUUCGCACAGUGUUACUAAAAAGAUUGAAUGACAUUAACGUUAUUUUCCUAUAUAAAAUAAAACAGCUUUUGGGGGGUUUUUUUUUAGCUCA